rnacentral:rRNA from 1 species
AUCGACCAGAAUCUGUUCUUCUUGAGUGAGGCUGAAAAGAAUCCUGUUGACAUGGAGGAAGCAGGGAAGGGUCUUGAUUGGGUUCAUUCGAAGGAGAAAUACAAGGAAUAUUUGAAGCAUCUCCCAGAUAUCAGCUCUAGCAAGAGCAAGGCAGCAUCUGUGGCAAACCCUCAUGUGGUCCAAAAGAGCAAAGGAGUUACAAUGAAGAAGAAUCUGAAGUUGCCUCAAACCAAGCAACUGAUGCCGAGGGUAGAUGCAGAAAUAAAUGUGGACAAGGAAGCUGUGGCGCAAACUGUUGUGCCAACUAUAGUGAUCAGAGAGCCAACCACCACUCAAGAUGUGUCAGCAAUACAUGUUGAGCCUACAACCAUCACAGGAGUUCAACAGAUUAAGGGGAAGAUUCCUCUGUCAACAGCCCCACAUAAACCAGCUAAGCAGCAAAAGAUUGUCAAGUUUGCCAAGGGCACAAAGGAGGAACAGGGCAGAAAAGGCAUAGAUGAUGAUGUUGGGUAUGCUGUAGCACUUGCUCCAGCAGCACAAACAGGGGAAGCAAACAUGGUUGUCAUA